UGUCAUGGCGGCUGUGCGUGGGAGGGCUUCGGCCCUGCCGGGUCCCGUUUGCCCCGGUCCGCGAACCCGCGCACAGUCGCCACCAGU
ncrna:Azotobacter vinelandii C4 antisense RNA